UUAAGUUCAGCGGGUAUCCCUACCUGAUCCGAGGUCAAAAGUGAUAAAAAGGCUUAAUGGAUGCUAGUAUUCAAGGGAGUAAGACGCAAAAUGUGCUGCGCUUAAAACCAAAACACUGGCUGCCAAUUGCUUUAAGGCGAGUCCAAACGCAAUGGAGAGGACAAACACCCAACACCAAGCAUAGCUUGAGGGUACAAAUG
rnacentral:misc_RNA from 1 species